UUAAUCUAUGGUCAUUUAGUAUUUAGUGUAUCCCUUCUUAUCAAAUCUCUCAUUUCCCGCAACCCUCAUAAAUUAUUUUCUCUGUUCCAUAAAUAAACCGCUCUAAUUCUCUUCAUUGUUUCCCCUUAUCAUUAUCUCUUCAUUUGCUUCACUGAAUUGCCUCUUCACCUCCCCUUCUUUUCUCUCAUCAUAAACCCUCUCUUCCACUUUCUCUUUAUUUGUAUUUCUUCACAAUAUUCAAAAUUAGAUCUAUUACAUAUCUCCCUCCUCCCUAAGUCUACUUAUCGAAAAGCUCCUCCACAAAUAUUCGAAAGCUCUCUUCAGACUCUUCUGAAGGAGAAUCUCAUACUGUAGAAAAGGCGUUUAAGAAGCAAUCCACUUGUGAUAAAGGAUAUUCUUGCAAGAAAUUUUGGGUGGAAACUUGUGGGUCUUUUACUCGAGAGGACAUGCAAAAGUUUUGGGGUAUUUAGCAAAAGAGAAAUUUGAGCUCUUUUAAAAUCAGUCUGUGGUUCAGAUAUGAUGAUAAACUUGAAGCUACUCAAGGAGUCUCAUUUUUCAGUAAGUGAUGUUUUCAAGGAUCAAAAACUUAAAUAGUUCUUCAAUGUAUAUGGUAUAGAAGUUUAUGAGGAUCAUGUUUACUUGUUUUAUGCUAACCUUCAUAUAUCUCGAGAAAGAGGAGAACUUGAAACCCUAGUGCUUGACCCUAGAAUUAUAUUAAAUGACUUUCUAUUUGAAAAAGUAUAUGAAAUUGACUCUUCUGUAGGUCUUCCAUAUAUGAAUGGUGGUUGGCCUGAUGAUUUUGAGGUAUCGCUUAAAGGAGCAAAGAAGGCAGUUAUCAAAUUGGGAACUAACCUUUCUGAUUUUUUAACCCUGUCUCUGCGAUUUGAAAAUAGAAUUGUAGCAACAUAUUAUUACUACGACCUUAGUCCCCACAAAAGUGACCUUAGUAGCAUUUCCACUAGGGAUUUAUUUAUUUUGUAUUGUCUAAUUAAUAAGUAUCAUUUGAAUUGGGGUGAUUGGUUUCAAAAGUAUAUACUAGAAAGUGCUCAGGACUCUAGCGCCUCUGCUAGUUUGCCCUAUGGGGCACUGAUUUUUCACAUUUUGCUUUACUCAAUGAUUGAUUUAUCUAAUUUUCUUAUUGUGUAUGUUACUGGUACCUAUGACACCCAAGCUUUUAAAAGCAUAGGCUAUGUGUUAGUUGACUUCCAAUGGUGUAAUAAGGAUUCAGCCAAAACUCGUUAUGUGAAAACCAACUCUGAAAGGCCCCCAUUGAUUCUACUACAUUGUUGCUCAAAGAAGUAGAAGGUAUACAGAAACGGCCGAUGACUCUGGAAGAAGGGAUGAUAUCUCUGUAGGAAACUAUUGGAAAAAUUAGUCAAGUCACCAAGGAUAUAGGCACAUAUGUAGGAAAAUUGAGGCUUGUAGUCGACAGCAUAAAGAUUGAGGAAAUUCAAACUAUGAAUAAAUUGAUCAAGCAAGUUGACUCUAUUAAUUUUGGAGUCAGUUCCUCUCACAACGAACUUGUUGUCACCUUUCAGACAUACUAUUCAACCUUUUCGAAUAACGUGGAAAAGUCCUAUGAUGCCUGCUGCAGGAAUGUGAUUAGUAUUUUGACCUACUUUUUGAAAAAAGAAGUAAAUAUUUUAGUCCUUGAUUCAAUAGGGAUGUGUCCCUGGCAACUUUUAUGUAUUGUCUGUGCACUACUAUCUCCAAUUCCUCCCCUUAUUAGGGGUUAUUUCUAUUGAACUAUGUCAUCUUUUUAUUAUCUGCAUGUUUAUCUAUUUUGUGAUAUUUGUAUAUUUCCUUUGUUAUUAUGUCAAAGGGAGAGAAAACACUGGUUCUACAGGUCACAAGGAGAUGCACAAUUCGAGGGGGAGCCAGCUCAACUUGAAAGAAACUUACAGGGAAGUUUAUCUACUUUUAUCCACAAAUAUAGUUUUAAUGAUGACAAUGUUAAUCCCUAAUUAUGUGCCAAAUGAUAAAAGAAGCAAUACACAAAAAGAAAAAGUCCAUUUUGCCAGUAGAGAUAUCAAUCCCACAAUUCAAACAAAAUCUCAAGGCUUUUGGAAGGCUACAUCACAAAAGGAAGGAGUAUAUUCAGCUCAGGAAUAUAAGAAAAAAAAUAUGAACGUAUCUGAUAUGGGUAUAUUACGUCAUCUGGGUAUUCAAUUCCCAACUUAAAUGACUCACAAAUUCCUUGACUUUCCCGAUUAAUAGAGUACGAAAUUAGAAGAAAGAAAAUUCUAAUUCUUUCAAAUCAAGGAAAAGCUAUUACAACAGCAAGAAAAAGAUCGAUCAAGAUUUUGAGGAUCAGAAGAUACAAAGGUCACAAUAUUCAAACCUUGUAUAAAUAGAACAUAGUAGCCUGAGUUUAUUUUGUACAUCUUCACUUGAGAAAAAUCGUAGUUACUUCUUAUUGUUAUAAAAAUCAUUGUAAUACGUUAUAGUGAAAACAAAAUAGAGAAGAAGCUAGAAGUUAUACAAGUAGAGGUUGCUACCUUUCGAAUAAAGCUAUCCUAUAAAGCUUGUGAGAAAAUCACUGUAUUCAUUUAAAGUUGCUCCAAGGAAAUCU
rnacentral:lncRNA from 1 species